AUGCAAGUCGAGCGGGGAAAGGUAGCUUGCUACCUAACUUAGCGGCGGACGGGUGAGUAAUACUUAGGAAUCUGCCUAUUAGUGGGGGACAACAUUUCGAAAGGAAUGCUAAUACCGCAUACGCCCUACGGGGGAAAGCAGGGGAUCUUCGGACCUUGCGCUAAUAGAUGAGCCUAAGUCAGAUUAGCUAGUUGGUGGGGUAAAGGCCUACCAAGGCGACGAUCUGUAACGGGUCUGAGAGGAUGAUCCGUCACACUGGGACUGAGACACGGCCCAGACUCCUACGGGAGGCAGCAGUGGGGAAUAUUGGACAAUGGAUGGAAAUCUGAUCCAGCCAUGCCGCGUGCAGGAAGACGGUCCUAUGGAUUGUAAACUGCUUUUAUAUGGGAGCAAUAAGGUCUUUGCGAAGACUGAUGAGAGUACCAUAUGAAUAAGCAUCGGCUAACUCCGUGCCAGCAGCCGCGGUAAUACGGAGGAUGCGAGCGUUAUCCGGAUUUAUUGGGUUUAAAGGGUGCGUAGGCGGUCUGAUAAGUCAGUGGUGAAAGUUUUCAGCUUAACUGGAAAAAUGCCAUUGAUACUGUCAGGCUAGAAUAUGGUUGCUGUGAGUGGAAUGUGUGGUGUAGCGGUGAAAUGCUUAGAGAUCACACAGAAUAUCGAUUGCGAAGGCAGCUCACAAAGCCAUUAUUGACGCUGAGGCACGAAAGUGUGG
rnacentral:rRNA from 1 species